rnacentral:lncRNA from 1 species
GUCACAGAAAUUAUAUUCACCUCGAUGCCCCCACACAUUAACAAGCCUGGAUCAGGUCCCCAUCCCGCCAUCCCCGAGGAGGCUGCACGUGGACAGGAAGCUGGGGUAAGGCGGCUUGUUGCGUCCCGGCAGGGUCUCGGGGCCAGCAACGGGCCGGGUGUCCGCCGGAGCGGGAAGGGGCUUUGUGCUGCAGUUCCGGGCCUGCAGGGCCGAGAGCGGGAAUCAGCAGUCCGGGUCUUCUCACAGGCCAAGAAAGCAUGCCGGCGCACCCAGGCCUCGCUCUCCUUCCUCAGGGACCUGAGACCAGCGCUCUACGGAGGGGACCUGGGGCCUCUCCACCUCGGCGACAACAGGGUUUUACCCGCCGCCCCGCGAACAGGCCUCGAGGUUCCAGUCUUCUUAAGGCUGGCCGCCCUCCCCGCCCCCAAUUCACCCCGACCUGAGGGCUGCCUCUCCGAGCUCCGAGUUCCGAGUUCCCGUUAGGCCCUUAC